rnacentral:lncRNA from 1 species
CAUCACUCCCUCCACCGUAACUGCUUUAGGAUUCAUCCAGACUCUGGGUCAAGGACAGAAAGAAGAGGAAUUCCCUUUCUUUCCCACUCCAAAGACUGUCAAGUUUCUUCCUUCGAGCUUCGCUGGAUCCCAGGAUUAUUAACAGAUUUUUGGAGCGACAGAUGCCUCAUAAAUAUAAAUAGGUCAACUUGAUCUCACCUAAAAUA